rnacentral:rRNA from 1 species
UGGGGAAUAUUGGACAAUGGGCGAAAGCCUGAUCCAGCAAUGCCGCGUGAGUGAUGAAGGCCUUAGGGUUGUAAAGCUCUUUGACCCGGGAUGAUAAUGACAGUACCGGGAGAAUAAGCCCCGGCUAACUCCGUGCCAGCAGCCGCGGUAAUACGGAGGGGGCUAGCGUUGUUCGGAAUUACUGGGCGUAAAGCGCACGUAGGCGGCUUUGUAAGUUAGAGGUGAAAGCCCAGGGCUCAACCCUGGAAUUGCCUUUAAGACUGCAUCGCUUGAACAUCGGAGAGGUAAGUGGAAUUCCGAGUGUAGAGGUGAAAUUCGUAGAUAUUCGGAAGAACACCAGUGGUGAAGGCGACUUACUGGACGAUUGUUGACGCUGAGGUGCGAAAGCGUGGGGAGCAAACAGG